UACGUAGGGUGCAAGCGUUGUCCGGAAUUAUUGGGCGUAAAGAGCUCGUAGGCGGUUUGUCGCGUCUGCUGUGAAAACCCGAGGCUCAACCUCGGGCCUGCAGUGGGUACGGGCAGACUAGAGUGCGGUAGGGGAGAUUGGAAUUCCUGGUGUAGCGGUGGAAUGCGCAGAUAUCAGGAGGAACACCAAUGGCGAAGGCAGAUCUCUGGGCAUUAACUGACGCUGAGGAGCGAAAGCAUGGGGAGCGAACAGG
rnacentral:rRNA from 1 species